rnacentral:pre_miRNA from 1 species
UGAUAUGUUUGCAUUUGGGUUGACAGUGGAGACAUGAAAAACUCAACCUAAUCCAGACAUAGCACG